CAAUAGCGUAUAUUAAAGUUGUUGCAGUUAAAAAGCUCGUAGUUGGAUUUGUGGCGUACGGUGUGUUCCGGGCACUUGUUGUCUGAGUAACCUGCUGUUGCCAUCCUUGGGUGGAACCUGUGUGGCAUUAGGUUGUCGUGCAGGGGAUGCCCAUCAUUUACUGUGAAAAAAUUAGAGUGUUCAAAGCAGGCUUAUGCCGUUGAAUAUAUUAGCAUGGAAUAAUGAGAUAGGACUUUUUUGCUAUUUUGUUGGUUUGCGCGAAGAGGUAAUGAUUAAUAGGGACAGUUGGGGGUAUUCGUACUCCAUUGUCAGAGGUGAAAUUCUUGGAUUUUUGGAAGACGAACUACUGCGAAAGCAUUUACCAAGGAUGUUUUCAUUAA
rnacentral:rRNA from 1 species